GCCAUCCAGCUGGGAGUGGGCAAGAACUGCUGGAGGAGGAUCAGAGACCCUUGGCAGGGCUGAAGUAACUUGUCUCUGUGUUGUCAAGUGUGGAAAACCAGAGUGAAAUGUCAGAGAAUACUGUCUGGAAAAUAGUUAUAGUAGGCAAAUUUUGUGCAUUUAUAUAAAUGCAAUCAUUGCUCAGUGACAUAAAAUUAUUAAUGCAAUAGUCUUCUCUCAAGGUGCUCAUUUGUUAGUCUACAAAGUCCUAUAGGACAAACUAUUAGUGUUAGUUUAAUCUAACUAAUUGAAUGAAGAUUUCCUUCAAUUUUUGGAACCAGUGAGUUGCCCUAUCUUUAAUGAGGGCUCUGUGUUUGUGUUGGGGCACAUGUUUAAUGUUGAGCCAGGCAGUUCUGUAGCUUUCCUUAGCCUUAACUUCCUGCUUGAAAGGAGCCUCAGUUUAGCCAGAGAUGAGAACUUAGGACCUUUUCAAGUCUUUUUCAGCUUGCACACGCAGCUAUGAAUGCAUGUGGUCUGCUAGAUUUACAGCAAUAUUUUAGAGCCCUUCAAAACCAGUUAUGGAGAUCUCAUUUCUUAUUUUUCCCUUUUAAGCUGUUUGGUUAACUUACUGUUUGCUUCAAACAUUAUCUGUACUCUUUUUCCCUCCCCAGCCCCCAACCCCCUAACAGCUGUUGGUAUUAAACACUUGUGUUCAACAGAUGCCCCUGGGGAAAAGUCUGUUCAAACUAGUCAGGCUCCAAGUCAAAUCAAAGAAAGACAUACUCAUACUUUCUUUUUUUUUCAUACUCAUACUUUCAAGAGGGGUCUUCCAAGGAAACCAGAAGAUAGGUCAAAUAAUGAUAAUUUUCUGAACAUGGGACUUUGAAGGAGCUCCAACUCCAUUCUGGCCUCUUCUGUGGCUGCUAGAUUGUUGCUUUUCACCACUGGUUUUUAGGCACUGCUGAGCUGGGGAGAAGAGAUGAGACAAGAGCAAGUUAAAAUACCACAAAACUCAUUGUUCUUAUUGAGAUUCAAUCAUUUAUCCUGAAUAAAUCCUCCCUAGAUUGCUGUAAGCCUUUGGCUAAUAUGCAGUUAAUUUUGACAGUUUGCCACUGUUCUCACUGAUUCUAUGGAGAAAAUUUUUGGAAGUCCUCAUUCUCCUCAUUGAUAUCAGCUUCUGAAGUUUCUUUUCAUCUCUAGGUUCCUCCAUCAUCACAUUUUUUCUUUGAAAUAUUUUUGUUGAUGAAAUCAGAUUAUUUUCUAUCCACUUUAGAUUUUGCUGAUUGCAUCCUUGUCAUUUAACAUGUUCUUCUGUCCCUGUAUUUCCUGUGAAUCAAGAGUAAGGUGCAUGAUUACAUUUACAUUUGACUUGUUUUUGCAAGACUGUUUCAUAGGUGCUGUGUUCUUCCAUUGGGAGGGCAUGCUGGGCAGAUUUGAGGAUCCCAGCUCUACAGAUGAGGAAGAUGAGAGGCACACAUGGCUCUGAAGAUUCGGACCAUGUUAGUUGUGAAUCCUGGGUGUCCUUGAGAAAGUGAAGAUGAUAAUAAUACCUGCCUCACUGAGAGAAGGUGCAUGUGAAGCACUUAGCAGGGUGCCUGGCACAUAGUAGAUGCUCAAUAAACUGUGUGGAGUGGGAAGAAAAAGAAAAGACAUAUUCAGUAUCUGCAUCCCUUUACCUCGCUGAAUUCCUGCAAUGGCCCACAAAGGUACAUGAAGAGGGGAAAAAACCCAACUUUGGCUUCUCCAGGUGGGUUCAAUUUGGAUAAUAUAUUUGCACAGAAGUGUAGACGGGAGCCUCCUCUGGGAGGCUGGCCAUUUUCACUGUGGAUUCCCAGGUAAUCCCCCCAGAGCAGGAUCUGGAUCAGUUGUCCUACUAAGUAUAAGGCACAUUGCCAAGGCAUGGCCUGGUCCCUUAGGCUGAGAGACAGAGAGUAGGGCCAGUUCAUGGCAGAAAGGGUCUGGCAUAUGUCCUGCCUUUUUUUGCUCUGUGGCCUUGGGCAGGUCUCUUUGCCUCUGUAGGCCUCACUGCCCUCACUUCUAGAGUAGGAGUGAUCAUUUUGCCUCUUGGCUGGUUGCAAGGCCCAGAAGCAGGUUGAGAAUGGUAGCGUGCUAUGCGAAUGUGAAGUGUCAGUUGCAGACUAUCUUGCUGGCCUCUUGAGAAGACUUGACAUAAGCAGGUGAGAAGUGCAGUGGGAAAAGUGAGAGCCCUCUGAUGCUCAAGGAGAACAGUGCUCCAGGGGCCCCUAGGGAGAAUAGUUAAGCAGCAGGAUGGAGAGAUUGAGAGGAGGUUGGAGGGCUGGGUGAGGCCUGAGGACUGAAGCCUCCGGGGGGCCAGAGGAAGGCAGCUGAGACUUUCAGGGACACAAAGGACUUUCUCCAUUUCUCCACCACACAGGGACCUGUCUCCCUGGGGCUGCUUUGCUUGAUUUGGUGUGCUGUUAACCUUUGCUCAGCCCCAGGCUGUGUUUAACUUGGGGCCAUGGGCAGGGGGAGAAGGUCACAACAAAUUUAGUGGGAGGCAUUUUAAGUACCUAAAGCAAUAAAUCCUCAUGUACCUCGAGCCUGCCCAGGCUUCCCCAAACCUGGGAAUUCAAUUUUGUGCAGCGCACACAGUUUGCCAAGCACGCUAAGUCAUCAGGAGAACAACUUGAUGUAUUGCUGUGGGGAAAAAAAUUGCCGUGUCCCUUUCUUCAUUCAAAUUAACACCUUUUCAUACUGGGCUGACAGGUGACUGAUCACCUGAGAAUACAUCCUGGCUUCAAGUGAUUUGAUAACUCUUCCUUCUCUGUUUCCCUGUCUUUAUUUUCAUGCCUUAAAAAGUCAGGAGAAAACAUUAUUAUUAUUAUUGCUAGAGAAUCACUACCUGAUUCAUAAGCCCUAAGCCCUGGGGCCUGGCAUAUGGUAGGCAUGAAUAAAUGAUGAACGAAUAAAUGACUAGAUUUGGUUGAUGUCUGCAGAUUGCCCUUUUUCCUUCCCAGAGGAUCAGAGGAAGCUUUUGCUUUGUUUUGUUUUUUUGACAUUUUUUUUUUUCUUUGCAUGGUGGACACUGUGUGAGGUCAAUGUGUGCACUGCUCAGAUGCCCGUCUGAGGAGGUAGAGGACUUGGCCCAGCUGCUGGGAGUGCUGGUGGCCCCUGGAGUGACUGAGUUGUAGAGAGUCGUCUUGCCCAAGAUGUUGACCCCAGGAGCACCCCUCAAACAACAUCCAGCACUCUAGAUUCCAUUUUGGAGUCUGCUUCCCAUGGAGAUGGACCUGCCACAUUUUGUUCUGUUUUUGGAUAGAUUCCACUCUGACCUUCCUCCUCACUGCCUCAUACAUCAAAGAGGAAGAUGGAGCGGAGUCAGUUACUGUGAGGAAAUCCAGACUGCAGGAGAAACGGGUGGCAACUGUCUGCGAAAUUGAGCACUUUCUGUCAAAACUUAAUUAAAUUAGCCUCGAUUCUAUAAAUAAUAGAGCAAGUUUCCCUCCCCCAUCCCUCCAGACCCCCUUGAUGUCUCCCUCUAUCUCCUGAGAGAUAGAUCUCUUCUGAGUGUGGUGCAAUAGGAGGCAGUUUGUAAAAAUUAGGCAAUGAUAAUUCAGACUUUGCAUUAAUUUACAGAAGCAGAAUAUGCUUCGGGUUAGAAGGGGUAGCAACCUGCAAGAUGUGUGACAUGCUCAGUGAAGUCUAAAGGAGAAGACAACCAGAGGAGAUGUGGGGGGCUGGGAAACUUGCCUCCAUGCUUCUAAGUAGCCAGCUCUAUGAUAUUGGUUGGAUCUCUUUCCUUUUGGCUCCUCAGUUUCUCUAUCCAGGUCACACUGAAGGCUUUGUAUCAGCCAGAUUUAUUUCUCAUCCGUGCCACAUGUUCACUGUAGGUCAGCAAGGGCUUGUUUCCAUGUCUCCUUGUCCUGGGACUCAGAUGGAGCAGCUAGUUUCUGUUGCUGCAGAUUGUUGUGAUGGAAGUGACAGAGGGGAGCACUGGGGGGAGGAGGGGCUGUCUCUCACUGGCAGUCCUGUGGCCGAGAAGUGACAGGUGUCAUGUGCUCUCACAAUUCAUUGGAUGGAACACAUCCUUUGGCCCUACACAAACAUAGGGGACCAGAUAGUGCAGUCAGUGGUAUUGUGCACCUGGCAUUUGGUGAACAGCAUUGAUGAAUGUCCUGGCCUCUUCCAACACUAAAGUUUUAGAAUUCUUUAGCUUUCAUCAAACUAUGAUUUUUUUAAAUUUCUACAUUUCAACUUUAAGAUUCUUGUCUACUCACCUUCAUCCACCAAGUGCUGAUUGAUCAUGCCCUAAUUUCCUCAGGAAUAGGUCUACUAUCCCUAACUAAUCUUAUUGUCCAUCAAUAGAUGAAUGAAUAAAGAUGUAGGACACACACACACAAAGGAAUAUUACUCAGCCAUAAAAAAUGAAACUUGCCAUUUGCAACAAUACAAAUGGAUCUAGAAGAUAUAAUGCUAAGUGAAAUAAAUCAGAGAAACACUAAUACUGUAUGAUUUAACUCAUUUGUGUAAUUAAAGAUACACCUGCUCCCAAACACCAGGCUCUUAUCUAUAGAGAAAAAACUAAUGGUUACCAGAAGGGAGGGGGAAGAUGGGUUAAAUGUAUUAUGGGAAUUAAGAGUACACUUAACAUGAUGAGCACUGACUAAUGUAAAGAAUUGUUGAAUCACUGUUGUAUACCAGAAAUUAAUAU